ACAGCUUUGAAGCUGGAGCCGAAGCCAGUGCUUCCUUCUUCACGUUGUUUAUGCUGGGUGUUUGGUGACCGAAGACACCCAAACCGCUGGCACAUCCGUAUUUCAGGCCCCAGUGACAGGGAGAGGGACUGGAAGAGGUGUCUGCCCUGGCCACAGCAAGACAGGGGAGGGCACUGUGAGCCUGAACGAGACCCGGGGUCCCGGAGACUGAGUCCUCGCUGCAGGAGGGUCCGGUGACCCUGAGGCUCUGGGGAGACUGGCCUGGAAGGAGCUGAGGGUGGCAGGGGGCUAGGGUGCGGUUGGAGGAGGAAGAAGCCCAGAGAGGGCGACUGUGGCGGGAGAGGAACAGGAGGUGCUGGUGACAGGACUCUGUGAGGGGCCAGGGGAGCGUGCUCAGGAAAGAUCCACCCAGCAACGACGUGACAGGGCUCAGAGUGGGCUGGCGAGCUGGGGAGGAAAGAUUGGAGGGAUGAGGCAGAGCGGUCCAGGAAGAGGGCACCGCAGCGGGUAGGCCGCCGUCCCAGGGCUCCGGGGGUGACAGGGGCUACCGGGCUACCGGCGACGUUGACACGGACAGUCCCAGAAAAGCAGCCUGUGCAAAGAAGCGAUGCAGGAGAGAAGUGAAGGUAGUCCGGCUGUUCUUUCAAAAAAUGCACACGUGGGGCCGGGAUUUAGCUCAGUGGUUCCACCGCCUGCCUGGAAAGCGCAAGGACCAGAGUUCGAUCCCUGGUACCAAAAAAAAAAAAAAGAUGUACACGUGCCAGGCCCAGUGACACACAUCCGUAAUCCCACCUACUGGAGAGGCUGAGGCAGGAGGAUGACAAGUUUGACACCAGCCUUGGCAACCCUGUCUCAAAAUAAAAAUUAACAGAGUAGCUCGGUGUAGACACAGCCCGCGCCCAAGGCUGCCAAGAAAAAGAAAAAGGCACAAGCAGAAAGAAAGAGGGCUCAGUGAGGGGAAAGCUGGAGGCCCAGGAAGACGUCGUCCGGGUGUCGGUGUGUCGGGAUGAGAGCCCUUGGCGCGAGUGGGUGAAGGGUCCAGUGGAGAGAGACCUGUGGGAGUUAAAGGUGCGAGGACGAGAAGUGAUGCCGCAGGUUUGCUCUGCCACAUUACCUGGCACCAACGCUGAAUGUGGCUGUGUUUGGAGACAGGUGCUGUUGCUGUCAGAGUUUGCAAGGGAAUGGAGUUAGUACAGGACACAUCGUUUACAAGAUUAUUUUACAAUGGUCACUCAAAAAGUCAAAUGCAGAGGAGCGCAAGAGAUGUCCACCUGCUAGAGACCUAGAGGCCUGGAUCCUACCGCAGUGCCCUACCUGAGACCACUCAGAGGCGUGGGGCCCAGGGCAACGUCACAGGCAAGUCCAUACAGAGAGUCGACUGGGAAUGCCGGGUGCCCGUGGUGAAGCUGGAAAGUCUGCACCUGCGGGGCGAGGGGUCAGUACACAGGCUGAGGCUCGUGUGCGCACGGUGAAGACCAGCACUCCUGGAAGAGAACAGCAGCCAUCCCAGCGACAGCGCAAGGACCCGGCUCCUCCUCCUCCUCCUUCGAGAACAGCUGACUUAGUUUCAGGAAAACCAGCCACAGCCAGCUUCUCCAGGAAGAUCAAUGGCAGCACCUUCCCGCCCAUUCUCCUGUAUGCCCUUGGCAACAGUCCUCACCCAGGUGGGUGACUCGGCUCAGCUGGGCGUUCCCACUUAGAAUGACCUUAACCACCACAGAUAGUAAACAGGCGAUUCAGCUAGGACCAGGCCUUCUCGGGUUAGGGGUCUGAAUUCAGCUGACUGCUGUUUUGAAAAGGGCAGGACACAGGCACACCGAAGGUCCAUGAGGCAGAGAGGCUGUGGACGCCGCCCUCCUGGACCUCGGGCAGCAGGCAGUCACCUUGUCCUUGGCGUUUUGUUACAGCAGCGCUAGAACGUUGAUAGCUGUGUUAAUUUGAUCCUUUUCUUGGCAAAAAGUCUGGAAGGUGACCAAGAUUUUUCUUCCAUUUAAAAUAUUUUCCUCUGGACUUUGGAUAUUUUUGAACUUUGACAGCUCCCAACAUGGAUGUGUACUGUGUGAGUUGGAAAUAAUUAACUCUAAGUAAAUAAUCUUUGACUUGUAAAAAUAAUUUGCAGUAGAUAAAGAAAAUGAAUUUGAUAAAUUAACUGGUGCUAGGAUAAAUGCUAUAGGUCUUCUGUUGCCUGUAAUGUACUGAGCUUGUAUCUUUUAAUUUCUAGGGUAACAGCUGAAAUUACAUAAAUAGAUUGUUACUUUAAAAUUAGUAUAGAAAAAAGAAUAGAAUGAUAAAAUAUAACACAAAAGGGCAGAAACAAACGCAAAGAUGAGAGACAAUUAGAAAGCUCCAUAAGGAGUAUAAAGUCAAAAUCAGACAGAGAAGCAUCACAUUGUAUGUAAAAGAAUUAAAUGCUUCAGUGAAGACAGAAAUUGUUAGGCUGAGACAUGUAAAGUCACUUGUAUACUUUUUAUAAGAAUCAUUAAAACACAAGUGCAAAAAGGUAGAAAAGGAAUGGGAAAAGUUAUACCACAAUGAUAUUAACCAACAUAUGCUGGCUUAGCCAUAUUAAUAUCAGUGGGAAAAUAGAUCCCAAGGUGAGAAGCGGGCUUUGGAAGGGUCACUUCAGGCAGUGCCAUCAAAAUGGUCCGGCAGGCAGCUCUGAGCUCCAUCUACCAAGAGAAACAUCUAGGGCCAACCAGAGCGACCAGAAUUAACUUUGUCAGAACUCUGGAACACAGCAACUAAGAAACUGUGAGCGAAGAGACAGCAACUUCAUUUUUGUUUUUUUUUUUGUACCGGAGAUCGAACUCGGGGGACCUUGCGAUUGUGAGGCAGGUGCUGGAACCACUGAGCUAAAUCCCCGGCCCCGAGACAGCAACUUCAAAACAGCGGGGAGGCCAAGGCCACUCUCACCUCACCCACCCACCCUGGAGACAGCAGCCAGGGCUGAGGGAGCAGGGGCCUCACUCCCAGUCCCUGCGAGCCGCCUGGAGGACAGAGGCCGGUGCCUUCAUCUGUUGUGCCUAAUUUGGAACUUACUUGGCGCAUUGGAUGGCGGGAAACAACCUGUAGCAAGACUGAGACCCGACAGAUGACCCACGCAGUGGGAGAAAAGAUCAGGGAGAGAAUUUCUUUGGAGACUCAGGGCAUUCAAAAGUGCAGGUGUAUCCAGGAGAAUUUGCAAAGCCACACCCACACCCAUGACGAGAUUCAUGCGCAGAAAAGUCCUGGAGAGACCUUAGGGUUCAUCUUUGGCUGAUCCCGGUGCUCAGAAUGCGAAUCACAGUGCAGAGCUUCGAGGAGAGGACCAAAGGAGGCAGGCGAGGUCUGCGUGCCUGUCAGGCAAGGCAGCCCCGGUCCACACCCUCGCUGAGCACCAGGGGCACACCUGACAGGGGAUCGGGUCUCUGGGCAAGAGGGAUGGGAAAGUUACUGGGUCAAAAGAUGAUUACAGACAAACAGUGAAAAGUAAAUGCUGAGGAAGGUGGAGAAUUCGAUUUCCAGAGCUAUCACAUUAUAAUAUUAAGAUAUUCUGUUCUCAACAACAAGACCUUAUCUAGUAAGUCCAAUAUCUGGGCUUCCUUGGUGAUGGUUUGUGUCAAUUUUUUAAAAUUUGAACAGGCCAUAUUUUCCAUGUAAAAGUGGUAUGUGUUUGUGCUUUGUAAUUUUUUUAAAUUGUUGUUCAUUCAUUGCUGUACCAUGUUAGAGUGUUUGUCCAGCACUUGUGAGGCCUGGAUUCAAUCCCUAGCAACACACACACACACACACACACUCAUGCACGCACAAUAUAUAGAAUCUGCCAAAAAAGUAUGCACUCCUCAGCAGUUCGCUGUGCUAAUAAAUGUCUGGAAGCAAAUGGCCACCUCUUUGGCACCGCUUGUAAUUCUAGAGGCCAAAGGUAACUUGUGUGAAUCUCAUGAUGUCUCAGGAAACUUAGUAUUAAAAUAUUUAUACAAAUUUUUCUUCUCCUGGUGUACACAUUUUUGGGUAGAUGCUGUGUGAAAACUCUCCCCUGGUGGGGUGGCCUCACCAGUAGUCUCAGCUUCUGGGAGACUGAGGAAGGCAGAGCCCUACUGCCAGGCCGGCCUGUGCAACUUAGCAAGACUUGUCUCGAAAUUAGAGAAAAUGUUGAAAAGGGCUGGGAUGUAACUCAGGGCAAGGCCCUAGGUUCAGUCCUCAGUAUUGAGAACAAACAACUAACUCUUAAAAUUCAAUAGUAACAAAUCCCAAACAAAAUAUAUAUAUGGCCAAUAAACGUGAAGAUUUUCAGCAUCUCUAACCAUGAAGGAAACGCAAGUGCAGACCAUAAUAAGACCUCUAUAUUCCUAUUGUCAUAGCCAAUAAUUUAACAUCAAUAAUACCUUAUGCUGUGAGGAUACAGAAAAACCAGGGUUCUCACCUAUUUCUGGCGGGAAAGCAACAUGGCAGAGCCACUCUCGAAAAGAACGUCGUGCCUGGCAAUCCUAAGCACUGCUGGAUGGAUGGAUGAACAAACGGGAAGAUGGACUGGGCCAGAUUCUCAGAGUGUUUAAGCAGGACACGAGCAUGCCUGUGCUUCUGCCCCGCAGACAUUUACCCGGGACUUCUGCCUAACGGUUGACUGCCAUGCCUACGUGUGGAAUUCGGUCCGUUGAUGUCUCCUAGAAACACUGCUGCUAGUGCUGCUGCUGCUGCUGCUGCUGCUGCUGCUGUGUGCUCUUCCUUCGGCUUCCAUGAGCUCCUUGACUGGCAGUGUCCCCAGGGCUCCAUUUGUCGCUUGGCUGCAGGCACUGGGUGCUGGUCUACAAGCUCCCUCUGGGCCCGGCGCCCUUUCUCACUGUGCAGCAGCAGAGGGCAUUGUCUAGGUACAGCUGCCAACGGUGGACUGCAGAAAGCGUAAUGCUGAGUCACUGCCCAUCAGCGAGCACUGUACGGGUUAAGGAGUAAUCUGGGAUGGGAGCGGCUGCCCAGAGGUGAACUGCGUCACUGCUUGUCAUUUCCACCCUACAAGAAGGAGUGUAUAGGGCUGGUCAGAAAAUAGGUGUGGGGCGGGGGAUUCAGCUCAGUGGUUCUGGUGCCUGCCUCCCAAGUGCAAGGCCCAGAGUUGAUCCCCAGUACCAAAAAGCAAAGCAAAACAAAUAUGGUGUGUUUCAAAUAAAAGAAAAAUUAUUGCAAUAAAAGACACAUUGGCAUCAAUCCCCCUCAGAAUCCUCCCCCUCACUUUGAACACACUUAUCCCAUUUUCUUGCCGCUUUCUGAAGCAGUUCUGGAGUCCUCUUUCAUGAGUGUCUUUACAAGGUGUAAUAAAAAAUAUGAGGAAUGCUGAUGCUGAGUGUCAUCCAACGGAAAACAUAAAAACACCACAGUGUGUUCUCAUCUACUUCAUUCACCACACCCAGCACUGUGGGACUUUUGGUUCUUCUCAAAAGUCAAAAUGACCAUGAAAGACGAACAGUUUGAUUCAAUUCAGGGCACUGAGGCAGACACAACAGUACAACUAGAAAAAUUCAUGAAAGAGGACUCGAAAACUGCUUCAGAAAGGAACAAGAAAAUGGAAUAAAUGUGUUUAAAGUAAGGGCAAGUGUGUUGAGAGGGAUUCAUAGCAAUGUAUCUUUUAUUAUAGUAAAUUUUUUAAAACUUAAAAAUUCAUAUUUUAAUGAUACUUCAAACAUCAUAUUAACUUUAUUCACUUCAUAGAUGUAUUACAUUGGGGUGCAGCUCUGUGGCAGAUCGCUUGCCGAACACAUACAAGAUAGCUCGAGAGUCAAUCCCCAACCCUGAAAAAAAUUACCUCAAAUGCUAAUGACAUUCGAUGGACUCCAAAACAUUUUUAAAUGAAAAAAUUGGAAGAGAUAAUUAAUAAGGAUUCGUCUAGCUUUUUGAUGAGCGUAUGAAGUCUUUGCAAGCUCUUACUGUUUCUCCAGGUGAGUCCUAUCUCCAUACAUGGUCACAAUUUCCUUCCCUGUCACCAGAAGGAACCGCACUCACCUGUGUGCCGUCAGAACAGCUCAAACAUCCAUCACACAGGCUGCCCGAGCCUGAGGGGAGCUGCUGCUUCAAGACGUUUGCUGUUCCUCAGCCUUGCUCAUGAUUUGCUAGGAGGUCGUCAUGCUGUCCUUCUGUGCUUCCCUCCGGUCCCAGACAGACCUGUUACUGGUCCACACUGCUCUGCACCCAUGGUCCCGUCUGCCCUGCUCUUCCCCUCCUUCGCCACCAUGCCCUUUUCUCGUCUCUCCUUGUCAAGCUCUUGCUCAGAUUCCCAAUUUCUAGGCUAGCGCUGACAUUCUCUGUCACCUUGUUUUUUGCUAUUCUUAUAUAGGAUUCUGUUUCUUUAUUAGUGCAUGUUGAUUACACCAAAUAAUGGGUGUCACCGCGGCAUAUUCAUGUGCACAUCCAUCCCCAUCAUACUUCAGUCAGGUCUGUCCCAGAGCCUUCUUCACCUCCCUCCAUCCCUUCCUCUCCUCUGUCUUCUUUCCAGAAGUCUGUGUUCUUUCACAUCAUCUCUUUUUUCUAUGCAUGAAAGAAAACAUGUGAUACUUGUCUUUCUGUAUCUAACUUACUUUACUCAACAUGUUGAUCUUCAGUUCUAUUUUUUUACAAAUGACAUAAUUUCAUUCCUCACUGUGACUGACUAAAGCUCCAUCGUGUAUGGAUUUCACUGUUUCUCCAGUCAUCUGUUGAAGGGGCAUCCAGGCUGGUUCCGUAACUUGGCGAUGUGACUUGUGCUGCAGCAAACAUGGAUGUGCAGGUAUCUCCACAGUAUGCUGACUUUAAUUCCUUUGAGUACAUACCUAGGAGGGAGGUAGUUGGAUCAUACUGUAGUUUUUUUUUUUUUUUUGGUUUUUAAUAUGAGUUCUAUAAAUACCUGAGUCCUGUGAUUUCCUUAUUUGCUUUGCAGUUCAUUUGCUUGGGAGGUGUGGGAAGAUUGUCUUAAAAAGGUGAAUUCCUCAUAUGACAGAGUCUGGCCACAGUGGGAUCUGAUCACACAAACGACCCAGGUGUUCUGAUGAAAGUUGCUGUCCACGCUUCAGGCAGUGUUUAGGAUUUAAAUGAAUGAGCUUCAGGGGAUCUGUGAACCUUCAGAAUUUUUUUACAUUCUAUAUCUUUAUGUCCAUUUGUAUUUUUCUAAGGGAAGGUUUCCUAACUUUCAACAGACUAUUAAAGGAGCCUGUGUCAGAAUUUUUUAAAAAGCAAUCUAUUAAACCAUUAAAUGAGGGUUUCAGAUAAAAGAAAACUUCUUUGUUAUUUGAGGACUAAAACAUAAAUUCAAUAUUGAGGUCUGAUACAUACAUUUUACUGUACAGGGUACUUUGAGACAUCACACACACAGAUCAUGCCUUUCAGAUUGGCUAAGGACACAUGCACACCUGGGCUGCUUUGUUUCAAGGUCUAGAGCCCCAAGGCCUAGCAUCAAAGAGGCGGCACGUGUCUAUCAUGUUGGAGGAAAGAGUGUGCCGAAUUCCAUCCGCGAUUUUCAUGAAAUCAGUAGCUAGAGGAUUAAGAGUCUUGUCUGCAGAUUCUGCCUGGAAAAGAGACAGCCCUGAAGUGUAAACAGUUUUGUGCACCAAGAUCAGUGUAGAGCCUGGUCUCUCAUUCAUCAUGUUCUGGCUCUGUAAUUCUAGACACGUCAUUAGUAUUCCUGGGCUUCUGACGAUGGACUUCUUAUAGCAAUAGUGAUCUUUCUGCCAGGACAUAGGAUCCUAUGAUAUCAUGAGGCUCCCCAGAAUAUAGGCAUGGAUGCAGGUAUACAUACACACAAACCUAUAUACGUAUAUAUGCACACAUACAUAAGAUAUGUAUAAGUGGUGAAGCCCAACCGACCUCCAUUGCUGCUUGACAAAGUUCCAGCUGGGGGAAAGAAAGCAGGGAACACAUCGUACCCUCAUGUUUUAUUUUUUUCUUGCCAUAAUGUUUAUAAUUGUUACUCUGGUCACGGGAGUCAUUGUGUUUGUGACUAACAACAAACUCUCCAUGAGGCAAAUUGGCAAUGAUAUAUUGAAAUCUGAUCUGGCUCAAAAGUCUCAAAUUCCAGUUUCUCUUAGUUCUAUUGCCACAUCCACUCCUAAAGAAACCUCUCCUAAAACCCCCUCUGUUUUCCCACUAUUAUAACUCCCUCUCUUACUGCUGACAUUCUUUUUACUAAAGGGGUCUUAUAAAGAGAUUGAAAGGACAGACUUUAGAUGUAAGAAAUAGUGGGAAAUGGGAAAUAAAAAGAACGUUAAAACAGGUAAAUGCAUUAAGGAGGCAAGUUACUCAAUAUUUCUCAAAGUGCUGUAAAUAUCUCCUGCUCAUGGACUAUGAACCCAAAUGACAUUUAGUUAAGAUGAAUAGAGGUAAAAAGAACAUAGAGAGCUAAUAGCAAACUGUAUUAACCAUUGUGCAGUUUCUCAAGGGCUAGCUGGUGACCACAAGUUUGACAUUUAAUUUGAUUGUUACUUUCUGUUCUGCUUAGGUAUGGGACAAUGAGGGAACAAUUGCAGUUUUUAAGAAAUGUAUUCAUGAUGUUCAAUGAAAUGAAUCAGCUUAGAAAAAAUAUACUGUUUAACAAAAAUAACCUGUACCUCAUCAGAUAUUGCUAAGGCAACAUGUUCCGCCCAAUGCCUCUUCGCUAUUGCUUAAAGAUAUAAAAAUAAAUCAGACCCUGAGACUUCUCAGAGGGAACCUGAACAUUGCUUGUAAAGGUUCUUUUCUCAUCGCUGGCCCAGGACAUCUCCCCUUCCUACCCUACAUCGACUGCAGCUGGUCUGCGACAUAUAAGAUUACUUACACUCAGGCACUGGAAAUGUAGACGAGUAUAAAGAAAUAAAAAUUCUCUAUAGUACAUCCCAGAGGUAACAGCUCUCAUCCAGUGUCUUUUUGUUCCUAAGUAAAAAUUCAGGCAGCCCUCAUUUUAGCUAGGCAUUGUCUAGAGACAUUCAACAUGUGUCUGAUAAAAUGAUACAGAAGCUAGGUACAGCACGUGCCUGUAGUCCCAGAUACUUGGGAGGUUGAGGCAGGAGGGCGGCUUGAGCCUAGGAGCUGCAGGCCAACCUGGCCAACAUAGUGAGACACUGUUAAAAAUAAACCGUAAAAUAACAUGAUGCUUGUACCAUGUUUCAUUUUUAUUUAAAAAACAAAUGUUAGCUCAAGGGAUAGGAUGAAGUUGAGAAUUAUAUAAGUAAUAAAUGCAUAAGCACAGUGCUUAUAUUUAUAUAAACAAAACAUCAAAUGCACUCUGUACAGCAGCUAUACACUUGGGCAAUGUAUGAUCAUUUUUUAAUAAUAGGCAUCUUUUAUCACAAAACACAAGAAUACCAUGGGGCUGCCACCUUCUAGAUGCUAUUUCAGGAUGGAAACAAAACUGCAAAAAUCAGAGUCUACUUACUGAUUUGCAACACAUCCC
rnacentral:lncRNA from 1 species